rnacentral:rRNA from 1 species
UACGUAGGGAGCAAGCGUUGUCCGGAAUCAUUGGGCGUAAAGCGCGCGUAGGCGGCCUGUUGCGUCCGCUGUGAAAUCCCCGGGGCUCAACCCCGGGCCUGCAGUGGAUACGGGCUGGCUAGAGGCAGGCAGGGGAGAACGGAAUUCCUGGUGUAGCGGUGAAAUGCGCAGAUAUCAGGAGGAACACCAGUGGCGAAGGCGGCUUCCUGGACACCAACUGACGCUGAGACGCGAAAGCGUGGGGAGCAAACAGG